CUACGGCGCAGGCUUCAACCGGCGCCGUAGUUUUAACUUGAGCAGCGACUUACAAAGCCGCGGCUCUUAUUUUGAAGAAAUGAGACAAGCAGGGGCAUUCGGGUUGGUACCCGAACUAUCAGCGUGAUCCUAAGUGGCUUGUUUUGGUCGCUGCACUUGGCCUUUUGCAAGCAAACUCGGUGUUUUCGCCGGUGGUGUCCCCAAAUCGAGGGUGACCA
rfam:Spinacia oleracea cultivar SynViroflay scaffold776.con0175.1, whole genome shotgun sequence.